CUCCCCCCGGCAGGACUCGCUGCGGUGCUAUAGGGGUGUGGGGGCUCGGCCACUGAGCUAAGCCCAGCGGUAGCUCCGGUGGAGGGGCGCGGGUUCGCGAGGCUCCGGCCCGGGGGAAAAAAACGAAAGGAACUCGGCGGGCCAGAGGGUAACGUGCUGCUGAAAGUGGGGUUUUGGGUGGAACAACAAACUUGCGAACAGAGAAGAAAAGAGUCCCAGAAAAUGGGUUUAAAAUGACCGAAUACCCUUCAUAUAGCAAAUUAUGCACUUCCUCUUCAUGGCAAUGGCAGCAAAAUCAGCACAGUGUUUCCUCUGUCCUGGGACCCUGCACCACGCUUGUCUGAAUGCUUCCACCUCAAACUGGCUGCCCCAGCAUUUUACGGAAGCUAUCCUCAUUCUGACUGCAGUCUCUACAGUUUUUCAUCUUUGCUCACAUCUGCACUUCCUGCUCCCAGCUGCAACAGAGAUCAGAAGUGAUAGAACACCAUGAAAGAAAGGCCAUCCUGGUAGCAUUUCCAGCUUGACUGCAUACAACAAAUACCAGGAAUCUUGGAAGAGAAAGUAUUUGCAGAUGCCCAGCCCCGUGUUCAGAUGGAUAUCUGAAUACUUAGGUGCUUAACAACCAGAACUCCUGAUAGUAGCAGUAAGCAAUCUUCUGAGUUUUCUAAAUCGAUAACGUUGUUUUAUAUCAUUAAAGCUGUGAAAAUUUAAUGCCAACAGUAGUUGCGUCACUUGGGUAGGUACCUGCCUUGUGGAUACAUUCAGGCAGUGAGAAGUGAAGCAUUUGUACAGUUGUACUUUAUGGUUUACAGUUCUACAGGUGCAAAGCAAGAAGCCAGUCAGAAACCAAAGGGACAAUAUAGACUUGUUGCAUAGUUUUGUCCUUUCUAGAAACCAUGUAAUAAAUAGGUUGCCCAGAGAGCUGGUGGACACCCCAUCCCUGGAAACACUCAAGUUCAGGCUGGAGGGGCUCUGAGCAUC